CAUUAGCCUGUUAAUUGUAGGCUGGCAUCAACGGUUAGACGACAAAAAGUCUGUCUUUUUCUUUAUUCUUUAAUUUGACAUUUAAGUGAAGAGGCUUAAAUUAGAUAGCGGGACGAGAAGACCCUAUUGAGCUUUAGGACUAUUAUCUUUGUUUUUAAAAUAAGGUCUUUGGGUUGGGGCAACCAUUUCUAUAGUUUAACAGAAAUAAAAGUAAAGUUGAAUCAAAUCUUUCUUAGACCCGGAAGUAUUCCGGAAACUGGAAAAAGUUACCUUAGGGAUAACAGCGUAAUU
rnacentral:rRNA from 1 species